UCCCUGUACUGCUUCAACAGAAGGCCGGCUACCUGCUGCAGAAGAACAGUGUUGUCUCCCUCAAAUGUCUGAAAUAUGUCAUGAUCAUUCCUCAAUAUUCCAAACCUAUUGACAGCGGCAUAACCAUGGCCACCACAAGCUUCUCUACAUGUGCUCAAUGACUUUGCUGUGUAAGAAGUGAUAUAGGCCUUUAGCCCUGCAGAAAG
rnacentral:misc_RNA from 1 species